rnacentral:rRNA from 1 species
UACGUAGGGUGCGAGCGUUGUCCGGAAUUAUUGGGCGUAAAGAGCUCGUAGGCGGUUUGUCGCGUCGACUGUGAAAACCUACAGCUUAACUGUGGGCUUGCAGUCGAUACGGGCAGACUUGAGUUCGGUAGGGGAGACUGGAAUUCCUGGUGUAGCGGUGAAAUGCGCAGAUAUCAGGAGGAACACCGAGUGGCGAAGGCAGGUCUCUGGGCUGACACUGACGCUCAUGCACGAAAGCGUGGGGAGCAAACAGG